UACGAAGGGGGCUAGCGUUGCUCGGAAUCACUGGGCGUAAAGCGCACGUAGGCGGGUCGUUUAAGUCAGGGGUGAAAUCCUGGAGCUCAACUCCAGAACUGCCUUUGAUACUGAAGAUCUUGAGUUCGGGAGAGGUGAGUGGAACUGCGAGUGUAGAGGUGAAAUUCGUAGAUAUUCGCAAGAACACCAGUGGCGAAGGCGGCUCACUGGCCCGAUACUGACGCUGAGGCACGAAAGCGUGGGGAGCAAACAGG
rnacentral:rRNA from 1 species